rnacentral:sRNA from 18 species
GUAACAGGGUAGAACGAUUUCAAACAAAGGGGUAGGGGCUAUAUAACAGAUAGCUCAAGGUGAGUCGUUCGGGUUACAUCGAAACAUCUUCAAUAUUUAUUACUUACUUUCCUUUCUAUUUUGUCGGCUAGCAAAUGACUAGCCGAUUUUUUA